AACGAACGCUGGCGGCAUGCCUAACACAUGCAAGUCGAACGAGAUCUUCGGGUCUAGUGGCGCACGGGUGCGUAACGCGUGGGAAUCUGCCCUGUGGUUCGGCAUAACAGUUGGAAACGACUGCCAAUACCGGAUGAUGACGAAAGUCCAAAGAUUUAUCGCCAGAGGAUGAGCCCGCGUAGGAUUAGCUAGUUGGUGUGGUAAAGGCGCACCAAGGCGACGAUCCUUAGCUGGUCUGAGAGGAUGAUCAGCCACACUGAGACUGAGACACGGCCCAGAAUCCUACGGGAGGCAGCAGUGGGGGAUAUUGGACAAUGGGCGAAAGCCUGAUCCAGCAAUGCCGCGUGAGUGAUGAAGGCCUUAGGGUUGUAAAGCUCUUUUACCCGGGAUGAUAAUGACAGUACCGGGAGAAUAAGCUCCGGCUAACUCCGUGCCAGCCGCCGCGGUAA
rnacentral:rRNA from 1 species